rnacentral:rRNA from 1 species
UACGGAGGGUGCAAGCGUUGUCCGGAUUUAUUGGGUUUAAAGGGUGCGUAGGUGGUUUAGUAAGUCUGGUUUGAAAGCUGGUCGCUUAACGAUCAGAUGUGGCUGGAAACUGGUAAACUUGAAUGCGUUGGCGGUAGCCGGAACGGGUCAUGUAGCGGUGAAAUGCAUAGAUAUGACCCAGAACACCGAUUGCGAAGGCAGGCUACUACGACGUGAUUGACACUGAGGCACGAGAGCAUGGGGAGCAAACAGG